UCAAGGGGAGGACCAUCCAUAACAAAUCCCAAUUGUCUCUUAAGAAGCACCGGGUUGUAAUUAAUACAACCUUGAACUCAUAUAAGAGGCACAUUGGGAAAACUCCCACAAUUGCAAAUGAAAUCUCGUCCAGCCACACCAUUGUGAGUCCAAGCUAUGUCCUUGACUCGCAAACCCAUCAACUUGGUUGCCCACUUGACGGUGUGAUCAAGAAAUACAAA
rnacentral:lncRNA from 1 species